UCACUUUGAUAUCCUUGUAGGUGUAGAU
rnacentral:sRNA from 1 species